CACUCCUACGGGAGGCAGCAGUGGGGAAUAUUGCACAAUGGGCGCAAGCCUGAUGCAGCCAUGCCGCGUGUGUGAAGAAGGCCUUCGGGUUGUAAAGCACUUUCAGUUGUGAGGAAAGGUUAGUCGCUAAUAUCGGCUAGCUAUGACGUUAGCAACAGAAAGAAGCACCGGCUAACUCCGUGCCAGCAGCCGCGGUAAUACGGAGGGUGCGAGCGUUAAUCGGAAUUACUGGGCGUAAAGCGCGUGUAGGUGGCUUGUUAAGCCAGAUGUGAAAGCCCCGGGCUCAACCUGGGAACUACAUUUGGAACUGGCAGGCUAGAGUUUUGUAGAGGGUGGUAGAAUUUCAGGUGUAGCGGUGAAAUGCGUAGAGAUCUGAAGGAACACCGGUGGCGAAGGCGACCACCUGGCCAAUAACUGACACUGAGACGCGAAGGCGUGGGUAGCAAACAGGAUUAGAUACCCUGGUAG
rnacentral:rRNA from 1 species